rnacentral:lncRNA from 1 species
AACCCUAUUUUCUCCAUAAGCCCUGUUAUUUCUAUUACGCAAAUUUGUAUAACACGAUGUUUUACAAGAACACAACUAUCGCGUUAUAGCAGAACUGACUGUAGUCACAAUGAAGUUUACCAUAACAAUUAUCCAUAAGAGAGAACACACUUUGUUGUACAGUAUAUCUAUUUAUAAUGGGUGACCAAAAGUCCAGCUGCUCAUAUAGAUGAAAACUUGUUUGCAUGUUAUAUUAUUUUUUCAUCUUUGUGCUAGUUUUUAUCACGAGAAGCUUAUGUUAGCCACUUUGUGCUAGUUUUUAUCACGAGAAGCUUAUGUUAGCCAUAUCACUGUCAGCAUUGUUGUUAGGUUUUUGUCAUUUUUAUGAGAUAAUUUCUAGAGUAACAGUACAUGAGGGCUCUAGCAUACAAAUCUGCCCAUGGUAACCAUCUAAAAUAUGCUCUCUAUCUCCAUUUCCUCAACAUUUUUUUAAAAUGUAUCAACUUCAAUCGAGGCCACAGCAGGAAAAGUUAGAUUCAUUUUUCAUACAGUAUAUCCCAAGGUUCGAUUGGGGAGUCAUGGUGGGGAUAUUCAUUUGUUUGUACUUCAAGACAAAUUUAUUUCAUAUGGAAAAAUGCAUUUUAUGUUGCAUUUAACUACAUCAAGAGUCAUUAUUGGCCAUGUUGGUUUAAGUGUACCCAAGCAUAAAAUGGUUUGGAUUUGAUCUGGAAUGUUACACUGCCUCCUCUGACUAGUAACUAGUUCAACUAAUAUCUAGACCAAUUCAAUGGGUUUUGGAAAAAAAAAUCAUCUUAAUAAAUUUGAUACUGUAAUAGAAAAAUGUUUGAUAAAGGGGUAAGAUCUUAGUUAAUUUCAAAACACAUCUGUAAAUCAUUUCAUCACCCCGUGUCAGUUUAGUUUGUCUAGUUUAUUAAUGAUUUACAAUACCUGUAUAAGCCACUGACCCCUUGAUCUCUAUUCUCUCCAAAUCCUCUUUUAAGUAAAAUUUUAUUUUAUUUUGUUUUGCUCUUAGCUUAUUUGUUUUAUUUAAAUUUGUUUCAAGAGCCUCAUUGAUUGUCCAGCCACCUCUCAAUUUACAUGAUAGUUAAGUUCUUAAAAAUGGUCGAGUAGUUCAAAACCGUGUAAAUAAAAAAUAUUAUCCCAUGAUGAAUGAUGUAAAAGAUUGAGGUUAGGUUUUUUUAUUAAUGAUUGUACUCUACUUAAUAUUUAAACAAUGAAAAACUACUGUACAAUCUUCUGCCAAAUCUUAUUAAAUUUUACUAAGUGACAGUAGAAACUGAGACAAAGGUAAUUCUGCCACUUACAUUGACUGCUUCUUCUGAUUGCAUGCUGGUGGUGGAGGUGAGGGGACUGGAAGAGUUAUUGAGGAAGGGGAUUAUCUGUGUCAGAUGACCAGGUUGGUGAAGGUGGUGAUGAUGCUUGAGCGGGUAAGAGAUGCAGCUGGCCUCUGACACCGAUAGAUGUUAGUGGCUUGUCGUCCUUAUGAUUUAUGUAUUUAUUUAUUAUUAUUUAUUUUUUAUUAAUUAAUUUAUUUUGUAAUGAAUGCAAUGUCAGCUGCGAGGCUUUCAUUGUCUUCCCAUGAGGGAUAUCUUUAUAGCAGUUGAUGUCUGCUAGAACAUUUUGGGACUUCCAGUCAUUUUGAUGUGGUAACUGCAACACUUCUGAAAGUUCACAAACCACCUAGAACUUGCAUUUAAUGCCAUCACUUCUCCAUCUUCUUCUGAUGCUAAGUCCUCAUAAAUGCUUUGUGCCUUGCUUGUAUCACAAGAAUGCUUAUGGGAACGUUUUGCUGGUUUUGAUGCACAAUCCAUGUGCUUAACAUCCUUUCCACUUUUUUCAUAAUAGAGCUUCAAGAUUAUGAUGUCUUAGUUGCAAUCAAUGAGGUUCCAUAUUGGGCAUUUUCAUUUUUGAAGCAUUAUUAUGUAUCAUGCACAGUGUCAACUCACAAAGGCCAAACACACACUUGUUAUCAACUGUGUGUUACCUCCAUCAUAGCAGUUAAUUAUGUCCAUUUUCACAUCACUGGUUAAGGCUUUUUGCUAUUUUUGGGGGCACACUGGCACCCUUGGCACUCAGUCAUGAUACAAGGGUUAGAGUCUAUUGCUACAGCAAGAACAUGUACAAACCAUACACACAAAUGAUAAUACUGUAUCACAUAAGAUGGCUACGUAAGAACAGACUGAGUGAGGCGGGAAGCCGUGGAAGCUGCCGACACACACAGCACUGUGCUUGCAAUGUCUUUUAACCGUGCUGCCAGUCCAUGUUGGCGACAAACUCAGUCUUGUGACUAAUUGCUUUAAACCAAAAUCCCGCUCACAUAAAAUAAAAAAGAGUAUAAAUGGAACGCACUCGGUAUUCCAGACAUGUUAAAUGAUUUCACAUAAAACGCGAUGAGGCUAUAUUAUGCUUUGUUUAUCUUUUACUCCGUGAAUGUAAAGUCUAACAUCUGGGUAAUUGCAAUGCGAAUGAAAUAAUGAUCUCAUAAAGUUGACACAUUCUUAUAAUAUUGCUCACCAUUAAUGACAAGCAUUUUAGUGUGGAAGAUGUUUGCCAGGUGGUGGUACAGUGUAAUAUUGCAGUUGUGUUACAUGUUCAUAUGUUAAACAGUACACCCUUGAUAUACCAUGACAGUUCUCAGUCCCACUCUAACAUUAAAUCAAGGGUAUAUCAAGGUUCUACUGUUUGGCAUAUACAUUGUAAGAGGAUUCAUGAGGGGGGCCCAUACUACCUCAGGUUAGGAUAUCACUGAUCAGUGGACUCUGCACUUUAGUUCCUAAUGAUUCUUACCUAAAAAGCUCAUCAGUAUAUCUAAAUAGACAUCUCAGGUUUGUUUGGAAGAAACUAAAUCAGAGCUAAAUUUCCUCAAGAAACAUUGUAUAGCAUUUUAAUGCUGGGAUGUUCAGAUUCUGGUAAUACACAUUGACAUCUAUAAUGUGAAAGGUGGGUUUUAGUGUGGUUACGUCUUAUGGUAAAUUCGGUAAAAAAAAGUAUCUUUACAAUUCUUGUGAGAAACAAAAUGACAUCACGAAUGAAGGUUUUUGAUAAAGGCUCGUAAGGCAUACUGUUAUUCACCACUCUUAAUGCAACGAACUAAUUUUAUAAUUUGAAUGAAAUAACUAAAUUAACCUACCAUAAUAGGUAGUAAAUGUCUCACAAUCACACCUACCAACCCUAAUGAGACAGCAGGAUUGUUCAGUUCCAAAUUCAUCUGACCCCUCCUGAAAGAUAAUUAUUUUUACCGAGUGUACAUGUGAUUAACUUGGAAAAAAGAGAGACUGGUUAUCUUUCUCAGGAUCAGAGCAUACAGCAAACACACACACCACUUUGUCUUUUCUAUAAGCCUAUUUUACUUCUUACUUAUUUCUUUAAAGUGUCAUCUUGAUCAUGAUACCUUUCUCUGUGCUUGACGAAUGGCUUUGUGCCACUGUUACUGAAGGUGAUCUAAGUAUAUUGAGGGGAAGUGAAGUGGCUUAGUUUACAUACAUUGACACUAGUUAUGUCCAGGUCAUUAUGUACUGUACCAAGCACUAGAAAAGGUUAGUUUAAUCCAUAUUUUAUGAGUGUUACAGAUGGCAGGUCAUGAGAUAAUUCCUGUCAUUCUUAUACUGAACAGUAUAUUGAAUUUUCUUAUCAUUACAGUAUAACCUCGGAAAUUUGUAAAUCACUUAUAUGAGUCACUCAAAACUGGUACAGGUACUGUACCUUAAAAAAAAAUACUGAAAACAAAAUAACUCGGCUGGUUUCAUAUGUGACAAUGUUUCCUCUGUGGUUUUGUGAAUUUCCGCUCGUAAAAUGUGAACAGAAUCACUAAUUUAAAUCUCAGGAUUUAGCCAACCUCUGCCAUCCUCCUGUGGUUUCUGAUCAUUCUCUCUUACUUACUUUCUCAGGUGUGUAUAUUGUGGAGGAAGUUGUCAGGUGUGUAUAUUGUGGAGGAAGUUGUCAAGAGUGUAUAUUGUGGAGGAAGUUGUCAGGUGUGUAUAUUGUGGAGGAAGUCUUCAGGAGUGUAUAUUGUGGAGGAAGUUGUCAGGUGUGUAUAUUCUAGAAAUAGUUGUCAGGUGUAUAUAUUCUAGAGUAAUUUGUCAGGUGUGUAUAUUAUGGAGGAAAAUAUCAUGUGUGUUCAGCCAUCUCUCAAAGGUUUGUUUAUUUUUAGGUGAUCAAGUCUCAUAUAUGAAACAAUUGCAGUAUUUAAAUUCAAAAUAAGUUUAGAAUACUGAAUACUACCUCUUGUUUUGUUAAGACAUAAAAGGCACGUUUUAGAAAAUGUGUCGGCGUGCACCAGCCAUAGCUUAAGAAGGAAAUCCAAUCAUUAUAAAAGUUUAAGGUUUGUUUAAUUGUAGUAUUGCAUGAAUAGUUAAAGGAUCAGGUAAGUUAAAAGUAAAACCAGCUGAGAACAUGGACUUAUACAACAAUUUUUCCAAGGAUGGCUAAAGUCAUAAUCAAGGGAUGAUGGACACCCACAUAGUUAGGCCAUUGCAGUCAGGAGGAGAGGUGUAGGAUCGAUAUGUUGCUCCACGUGAUUAGAUUCAUAUAUUUCUUGAAAUAAGGGACAUGAUUGAUUUGUGUUAUAUAUGCCUCUGAUUAUAGUCAUAAUGAAAAGCACAAUUCUUUUUACUGAAUUAACUUGAGUGUAGCUUACCUUAUGAUCUGAAGUCUUCCAAUGAAGUAAAAUCACAAGUCGUUAGCAUGAUGUCUCUCCCCAAACUGAAGUAACUUACUGGUUCAGACCUAUUUUAUAUGAACUGUGAGGCUGACUCAUAGACAUUGUUGUGUUGGCACUUAUGAUGUUGAUACUUUUCUGUGUAUGAUACCGGGAAGAGGUUGACCCCAUCACACUGUGUCAUGACUCUGGUUGUUGGCAAGACUCAUCAGUCUCUUUGAUUGUUACAAGAAAAACUGAAUUGUAACUUACUUGGGAACCUUCACUACAGAAAUGUUUUAUCGUUUUGAGAGGAGGAACUUGUUAUAAAAAACUGGAAAAUUCACAAGCCCAGUUUAGUCUGGGUCCCACCAGUACUGGGUUAUUCAGAUUGUUUUGUACUUAUAUCAUGUUAGGGGAUAGUUGGACUAGUGUGGUGGUGUCAGGAGUUACAUAUUGAUUGUGUGUGGAUGAUUAUGUUCUUACUGGUUGGUUUAUCAUACCUGGGAUAGAUGGGGUACACAGCUCUCAUUACUGUGCAGUACUUCAUUUUAAUCCGCUAAAACCCUGCCCCCAUAUAUAUAUUUUGUUAGUUUAUUACUUAAAUGUUCAGUAUUAAAAGAUUGAAAAUCGUAUGAAAAAAAUUGGAAAAUAUUCACCUCCAGUGCUAAGCUAAUAGAGAUUGACAUUCUCUCCUCGCCAUCAAGAUAGAAAGUGGGGGUUGGGAAUGUCCUGAGUCAAUAGGGAACAAUACAUAUUUUGUCAGCACUCUGCAUGUAAGUAGCUAAGCCAGCUUAAUUACCUUUGGGCAAGUCUUGUGUGUGAGUCAUGGGGAUAUGGGUUUAAGCACAGUUAAGGUGACAGGAGUAGCUUCCUAUUUUGAAAAAAAUCUGAAAGAUGAGAAUGCUUCUGUAUCAGUCUCCCUUCCUCCCUCAAAUUAAUUUUGUCCAGGUGGGCAAUGAAGAGGUGGUGGAUGAUGGAAACAGUGUGGAUUUACCCUGCCAUGGCUUGAUGUCUCAUUCUUUGUUAAAUGGAUGUGUCACUACUUUCUCUUGAUCUCCUUUGGUAACAGUGUCUCUCCAGUCCAGUAGCAUAGAGAGAAGCCUCUGUAAUUCAAACAGUGCCCAAAUAGAAAAAAAGGGUCACUUUUCAAACUUUUUUUAUUAAUAUGAUGUAUAUGGCAGAGUGGUUUGUGUAAGCUUGCCUUUCAGAAUAACUAUACUUUAUAUUUGUUUCCAGCAUAGAAAAUGCCUAAUCCUCAAGCUCAAUAGACUUUUACUAAACAUAGUUAGACAAGAUUAGCCUUCCUCUCCAGUGUAUACAGUGUAUUUGCCAACAUAUAAUGUCACCUGACCUUUGGUGCCCAUUUGCUAUUUUUCUAUUCCCUUUGUUGCACUAGUACUCACCUCAGUUAUUCUUCAUGUGCUCAAACACCUCAGUGCUACCUCAUUUCAUUGUUUUCUUUCAUUUAUUACAAGUCAUUAUAUGUAGAGCAUUUUGGUUAUAACUACUGUAGUAUUCAAAACAUGUAGUACCAGAUAGAGAGGCUCUUAUUAGCUCUACUUUUAUAUAAAUUUCCUUCUUGAACUUAUUAUCUAAGCAUACCAUAUAUAUACCUGUACCCUCUAUAUUUUACAUACACACAUACAUACAUACAUACAUACAUACAUACAUACAUACAUACAUACAUACCAUCCUUUGUUUUUCCCCUUAGUUUAUCCAUUAAUUACUGUCUAAUUAAUAUUGAUAUGAAUCAUUAUUCUACCAUACAGUUGUUUACUUUGCCAAUACAUUUUUAGAAACACAUCAAAACCUCUUUUAUUCACUUUUAUUUUAUCCGAGCCAUUUUUGUUUAGUUUUGAUUUUUCAACCUCAUAUCAUCACUUUUUUAUCCAGCUCCAUUUCAUUCGCUUUUCACAUCAUAUAUGUUCUUAGAUCACCCUAUUCAUUACACAUUCCAUUCCUUGACUUGAUCAUUUUAUCCUUAGACCUUCAUCUUUACACCUUGUUGAUUGAUUUGGUAUUUAAGUAUUUUCAGUAAUUAUAUAACAUUGAAUGAGUUAUGUAACAAGAGAGAGAGAGUGAGGUAGAAUGGUCAGGCAUUACCAGCAGCAUAAGUGAUGACAGGAAGAGUUCAAAUAAUAACCCAUUUGUACAGUUUAUAGUUGACACAUACUUUUUCUUGUACUGUAAUUAUGCUGUUAUGCAAUAUCUAUGGUACUGUUUCUUUAGAGUUGGUGUUAAUGUUAAUGCUGAUACUGUAAUGAGAAACUGAAUUAGUUUUUGUCAUUAUAUCAUUGAGCAUAUAAUGUAUAACUAACUUAUAUUGGGCAUAUGAGUUCGGUUUCUCUAAAGGAAACAAGUAGCUGAAAAUAAGGCUGUAAUUUUGAAUUCAUAGAGGAAAUAUGAUGCAUCUCAGCCUUGCACCACAUACUUAAAGUUUGAAUGUGAUAAGAAAAAAAUACAGUUAGAUCCAGACCUAGGUUCUCAAAGGCUCGUACAUUAUAUUUACAACCUAAAUGGAGUACUGUACAGGUGUCCAUCAAUUUACGAAAGGGUUCUGUUCCAGAAAACCAUUUAUAAAUCGAUCCCUGCUUGUACUGUUUGCAUCUAACUGCCUUGGUUAAGCUAUAAUACAAAAAUGUAAGGAGAGAGUUUUCAUAGUUGUUCUGAGGCUGAUCUGUAACUAAAUGUAUUUCCCUUUGCCAUGUUACAAGAGGAAAUGAAUGUACAAAUCUGUGUUCCUCUGGGCCCAGGAUGGGAGGUGUGUGUGUUUCUUUACUCAAUAAUUUGGAGGUUUAAUAUAAAACUGAAAAUUUGUCUUGUACAAAAUGAUUUACUGUACUUGUGUCCUGUGGAAUAGUAAUAUUUAAGGUACUUUGGGAGGUAAUGAAAAUUUCAUUAUGACUUGUGGUAUUUGUUUUUGUUAUUGUUAAUGAUGAGUAAGUUAUACCAUUUCUCUCACCAGCUUUUGUUAUAGUUUAUGUGCAAUAAUAUAUAGCAAUAUCCCAGUACUAUAUUGUUAAAAUCUUAAAAGAGAUGAUUUCACCAUAGAUGAUUAUUAGGGGGACAUUAUGUUCAUUACGAAUAUUAGGGUUGAACAAAAGUCUCAUCUCUCUCACUAGAAUUUUUUUUAUUCUACAUUAUGACACUGAUGUUUCUAUAACAAACUUGAGUAAUAAAAUGUGAAGAACAUUGUGGCCAAAGGUAGAUUAUUUGUAGAAAAUGAUAUACAUACAAGAUCUGGUAAACUGGUUUCUUGAUUAUCUCAAUAUACCAUAGCUUUGAUGUUUUUGUUGGGAUACCUUAUACUAUAUAAAGGUUGGCAAGAAAUAGCUUGACACUUUAAACCUAUAUAAAUUCUGCCAUUAUGAUCAUACAAGAUACACAAUACUGUACUGUAUAUUGUACAUACUGCACAGUAUACAUUUACAUACUACACAUCUUGCAUAAUACAUAACAUACACAUGUGAAAAAUAUAUGCAGUCGAAGUACACACAUUGUUUUUACUCAGGCAGCUGCUUGUUAUGUGUCGGUUAUAUCUCGCCCACCCUGGAUAGUACAGUAAAUAAAUUAUAUGAUUAUUAACAAAGACAUUAAAGUUUAUUACCCAGGAUAGUUACAUAAACUGGUUCAUAGUAUUAGAUAAAUAAAAGUUUUGCUGGACAAGCCUUCAGUGAUAAGUUAAUCAGGCUUUCAGUGUGUUAAAACCUCUAUUUAUUGGUAACUGAAUUAAUAAGGGCUGUUUUAUAUAAAGAAAGUGCUUUAUAACUCAAAGGGAGCUCUAGGUGCUUCAUCACUUUCAUGGGGAAAAUUUUCACCAAGUCUUUCCAAAUGAUGGAAGCAUUGAGCACAGUAACUGCAUUUACAUUUUACAUCAAAAGUAACUUUAUUUACAAGUUAAAGCACAAAGUAAAAUAAAUUUCAAGUUACAGCACAAAGUACAUUAUUUAAAAAUUAUAGCACUAAAGUAGCAUCAUUUAAAAGUUACACCAUUGAGUAACAUUAUUUACAAGUUACAUUAGAGGUGCUGAGUUUGAUGUAACUUCUUUUUGGCUUCUUGUACAACAUUUGAAAUCUCAAGAGUUAUUUGCACCAUACAGUGUAGCUAGGGUCUGAUAGAUGGUUGAUAAGCUUAGUAUGUGCUGUUCUUUAAUUGGUGUUUGUGUGUGUCAGGUCAAAGAAAUUUGAAUCCUCAGUGAAUUGAAGACAUUUAUUUUGAAGCUGGAGUCUGUUUGUACUGUAUGUGGCCAAUGUGCGGCAAAUCAGCCACUCAUCCUCAUAGGAUUUGUAGGUGUGUUCAUGUCCAUUGUUGUUGAUAAUAAGUACCAAGGUUUGAAUAAAUGAAAUAGAAGUUUGUAUUAAAUAAAUGAAAUAGAAGAUUGUAUUAGAUGCAGUCUGUGCACAAUUUGAUUAGCAUUAUUUCCAGGAAACAUUAGCUGUUCUUGUUAUUGCACAUUAUACUUAAGGUUUUUGUACAGUUAUAUGAUAAUUUUAAGAUUUUUUUUACAAAUUAUUUAUAAAAUUAAUAUGUGAAAUAUUUUCCUCAAGUGUUUUAUCAUUGCUGCGUCAAUCAAUCAUUUAUAAGUAUUUAGAAGUUGGAUUAUGUUAUGUUGUAAGGUUACACUGAUAUAAUGUUAUGUUUGUAUACCCGUGUCUUUAUGUUCAGGAGAACACAGUAGUUGUGUAGCACACUAACAGAGCCUGAAUUACAGACAAAGCAUUUUUGACAUAUUUUGGUGUUGUCCUUUAUAUGCACCACAGAAUUAUGUAAAAAUGUUUUAUUACCAAUGAAAAGGUGUUCAUUUGUGUCCUGGUGUUUAUUUAUUAUUAUUUUAAGUUUCAAGUGAUGUUGUGAUUGGAAUUGUUGACUGGUUGUGUUUCCUGAAUAUUACUCAGUGUCGUCACCCAGUUUUUAUUUGUUUGUUGAUGGCUGCACCUCAUUCUUUAGAUACACAAGCCUGGUUUGACCUACCAAUGCAAUAUUACUGAUCCAGUUUACCUAUCAGGAAUCUAACAGUUCUUAGGAUCCAGUCCCACUUUGGCACUAAGCAUCUAGUGAUGCUUAUCAUGAACAAAAUGGUUUAACGAUGUGAGCCUUCAAUCCUAGCCAUUUUCACAAGCCACUUGUGCUGUAUCUAUUGUAUGGGGUCAUCAGUACAAGGCUGCUUUAAUUAUAUGUGAAAAUGCAGGCAUUAUAAGGAUAUAUUAAAUAUGAAUGAUUUUCAGUGGAAUUUAGAAAACAGCUGCUGUCACACAAGGUAAAAUAUAAUUUUAAUAUAGCCUUCUCCUUGAACACUUCUGCUAUCAAAUAAGGAUUGUUAUUUUGAAAUUAAAUUUCAGGAUUACUUUUGUUAAUGUUCUUUUGUUUAUAUAAUGUGUUAUACCAUGGGCAGUGCCACAGAUCUUUUUGUAAAUAUAUAUUUUUAUUCAGGUU